rnacentral:rRNA from 1 species
GACGAACGCUGGCGGCGUGCCUAAUACAUGCAAGUUGAGCGAUGAAGAUUGGUGCUUGCACCAAUUUGAAGAGCAGCGAACGGGUGAGUAACGCGUGGGGAAUCUGCCUUUGAGCGGGGGACAACAUUUGGAAACGAAUGCUAAUACCGCAUAAUAACUUUAAGCAUAAGUUUUAAGUUUGAAAGAUGCAAUUGCAUCACUCAAAGAUGAUCCCGCGUUGUAUUAGCUAGUUGGUGAGGUAAAGGCUCACCAAGGCGAUGAUACAUAGCCGACCUGAGAGGGUGAUCGGCCACAUUGGGACUGAGACACGGCCCAAACUCCUACGGGAGGCAGCAGUAGGGAAUCUUCGGCAAUGGACGAAAGUCUGACCGAGCAACGCCGCGUGAGUGAAGAAGGGUUUCGGAUCGUAAAACUCUGUUGGUAGAGAAGAACGUUGGUGAGAGUGGAAAGCUCAUCAAGUGACGGUAACUACCCAGAAAGGGACGGCUAACUACGUG